rnacentral:lncRNA from 1 species
AAAGGAUCAUUCACAUGAAGUAAGCAUGAUGACUCAUCUUUUCCCUACAAUGGAAGACUGUGAAGCCCUCAGCUUGGCCCUUGGAUGCUGUGUCUCUAUGUACUCAAGUGACAGAGAGCAUUGGCAUCUACCUACAUGCAACUGAAAGGGGAUGUAUUCUGGCAGAAAUCUCUUGUGACACCUGAGCGGCUCAGCAGGGAGCUGCCAAUUGGAAAACAUGGUGAGAAACCACAGAACAGUGACAAUAAUGCAGUUUCCUG